UUGGAGGGCAAGUCUGGUGCCAGCAGCCGCGGUAAUUCCAGCUCCAAUAGCGUAUAUUAAAGUUGUUGCAGUUAAAAAGCUCGUAGUUGAAUUUCGGAAUCAAUAUAUUGGUCGUGCCUCCGGUAUGCACUGGUAUUAUUGAUUUCUACCUUCUGACGAACUAUGAUGUCAUUAAUUUGGUGUCAUGGGGAAUCAGGACUGUUACUUUGAAAAAAUUAGAGUGUUUAAAGCAGGCACACGCUUGAAUACAUUAGCAUGGAAUAAUGAAAUAGGACGUUUGACCCUAUUUUGUUGGUUUCUAGGAUCGACGUAAUGAUUAAUAGGGAUAGUUGGGGGCAUUAGUAUUCAAUUGUCAGAGGUGAAAUUCUUGGAUUUAUUGAAGACUAACUACUGCGAAAGCAUUUGCCAAGGAUGUUUUUAUUAAUCAAGAACGAAAGUUAGGGGAUCGAAGACGAUCAGAUACCGUCGUAGUCUUAACCAUAAACUAUGCCGACUAGGGAUCGGAUGAUGUUAAUUUUUUAAUGACUCAUUCGGCGCCUUACGGGAAAC
rnacentral:rRNA from 1 species